rnacentral:rRNA from 1 species
UACGUAGGGGGCAAGCGUUGUCCGGAUUUAUUGGGCGUAAAGAGCGUGUAGGCGGCCCGGUAAGUCCGCUGUGAAAGUCCAGGGCUCAACCCUCGAAUGCCGGUGGAUACUGUCGGGCUAGAGUGCGGAAGAGGCGAGUGGAAUUCCUGGUGUAGCGGUGAAAUGCGCAGAUAUCAGGAGGAACACCAAUUGCGAAGGCAGCUCGCUGGGACGUAACUGACGCUGAGACGCGAAAGCGUGGGGAGCAAACAGG